CACCUUAGAGACCAACUAAGUUUGUUCUUGGUAUAAGAUUUCGUUUCUGAAGAAGUGUGCAUGCACACGAAAGCUUAUACCAAGAACAAACUUAGUUGAUCUUUAAGGUG